rnacentral:lncRNA from 13 species
CCAUUGGUCUAAAACACCAGGAUUGUCCAGGAACAUGUUCUGCUCCCUCUCCAUUGGUCUAAAACACCAGGGGUUGUCCAGGAGCAUGUUCUGCUCCCUCUCCAUUGGUCUAAAACACCAGGGGUUGUCCAGGAAGGAGCAUGUUCUGCUCCCUCUCCAUUGGUCUAAAACACCAGGGGUUGUCCAGGAGCACGUUGUGAAACAGACAGAUAUGAAAGGCUAUAGGAAAGGCUUUGCUCCUCUUCAGAUCGGUAGAAAACAACAGUGACCAGUCCAUAUGGGACGACUUGAAGCUACACUGAACAAAAAUAUUAAAAAAACAACGUGUAAAAGUGUUUUUUCCCAUGAUUCAUGAGCUGGAAUAAAAAGAGACAAGAAAUGUUCCAUACACACAUUUUCUGGCACAAAUUUGUUGACAUCCCUGUUAGGGAACAUUUCUCCUUUGCCAAGAUAAUCCGUUCACCUGACAGGUGUGGCAUAUCAAGAAGCUGAUUAAACAGAAUGAUAAUUACACAGGUGCACCUUGUGCUGGGGACAAUAAAAAGGCCACACACACAAAAAAAGUGCAGUUUUGUCACACAACACAAUGUCACAUAUGUCUCAAGUUUUGAGGGAGCGUACACUUGUCAUGCUGACUGCAGGAAGGUCCACCAGAGCUGUUAUCAGAUAAUUUAAUUUUGAUUUCUCUAACAUAACCCACAUCUAACGUUGUUUUUAGAGAAUUUGGCAGUAUGUCCAACCAACCUCAAAACCCACAGACCACGUGUAUGGCGUCGUGUGGGCGAGCGGUUUACUGACAUCAACGUUGUGUGAACAGAGUGCCGGGGGGUGGCGGUGGGGUUAUGGUAUGGGGCAGGUAUAAGCUACGGACACAACGAACACAAUGGCAUUUUAAAUCGAGGGCAAUUUGGAAUGUCCAGAGAUACCGUGACGAGAUCCUGAGGCUCAUUUAAAAAUUAAAAAUAAUGUAUCUGUGACCAACAGAUGCAUAUUUGUUUACAUCCGAUAGUGAACAUUAGACCCUAAAUCCAUAUACUAGGGCCUAAUCAAUUUAUUUCAAGCGACUGAUUUCCUUAUAUGAACCAUAACUCAGUAAAUUCUUUGAAAUUGUUGCAUGAUGAGUUUAUAUUUUUGUUCAGUAUUAAUGGGAAUUUUUGUGGGUUUCAAGGUGUCCUUGUCUCAAGGUAGAAACUGUUGGUAAAUUAAAUGCACUUCAUUGGUUGAGUUGCUACUUCGUCUCAAACCAAUAUAAAUGUUUUGGUAUGCAUAAAAAGGCGCACGGCCUUUGCGCCAAAAAAAACAAAACAGGAUUUCCAACAGUGUUCUAGUCACGUGGGCUCCUGUAUCCUAAAGCUGAACGCUGCCCAAGUCGUCCACUGGACAUUACCAUCCGUUUCUCUUGGGGUCUUUCAGUUCACACUCUGAUGAAAGUCGUCCUUAAUUUCCGCAUCGGUU